CGGUGGUUCUGAAUGGAAGGGCCAUCGCUCAACGGAUAAAAGGUACUCCGGGGAUAACAGGCUGAUACCGCCCAAGAGUUCAUAUCGACGGCGGUGUUUGGCACCUCGAUGUCGGCUCAUCACAUCCUGGAGCUGAAGUAGGUCCCAAGGGUAUGGCUGUUCGCCAUUUAAAGUGGUACGCGAGCUGGGUUUAGAACGUCGUGAGACAGUUCGGUCCCUAUCUGCCGUGGGCGCUGGAGAACUGAGGGGGGCUGCUCCUAGUACGAGAGGACCGGAGUGGACGCAUCACUGGUGUUCGGGUUGUCAUGCCAAUGGCACUGCCCGGUAGCUAAAUGCGGAAGAGAUAAGUGCUGAAAGCAUCUAAGCACGAAACUUGCCCCGAGAUGAGUUCUCCCUGACUCCUUGAGAGUCCUGAAGGAACGUUGAAGACGACGACGUUGAUAGGCCGGGUGUGUAAGCGCAGCGAUGCGUUGAGCUAACCGGUACUAAUGAACCGUGAGGCUUAACCUUACAACGCCGAAG
rnacentral:rRNA from 1 species